UUUUUCGAAACCGAAACCAGCAGCUACCAGCAUAAUAUGUGCUGCUAUGCACCAACUAAGACUGAGGAACAACAACAAAAGACAGUUAUCAAUUUACCCAAAACCCCAAAAAUAACAAGAAAACAAACCGUUUUUAAUCCUUGAAAAAGGCAAUAAAUUUGCCGAAACGUCGGAAAUUGAAACAAUACAUUGUUUUCACUGCUAAAUGACUGAAAGCCGAAAACCAAAUCCAAGAUUUAAAUUUUCUAAAUUUGAUGUAAGGUGACAAAAUUUAAUUUAUCAUUUUUGGAAGAAGAAAACUCUCUUGACUUACAAUAACUGACUAAUUUUUCUAUUAAGGUCUCCUGACACAAGUUGAAUUUCACCUUCUUUAAAGAAGGGAAAACUGUCUUGACUUGUGAUAUCUGCUAAUAGAAGUUGAAUUUUCGCUUUAAAGUUUUUUUUUCUUGUAUUCUUUCUGGUUUCCAUAAGGAAAAACUCUCUUGACUAGUGAUACCAAAUUUAAAAAAUUGUUCGAGUGGUCAAGUAUUUUUUUCCUUACUUAAAGAAGGGAAAAUUAAACCCGUGUCAGCAGUUAUAAUAACAAGGCUAUAAUUUUUCCCUUCCUUAAAGAAGGGAAAACUCUCCUCCUCCCUUUUAGGCUGGAUUUUCAUGGACUAUGCAACGACAUCGAGAGCACGAGCAUCGAACCAACUCGAUGCUCAUGGCUUGCGUUACUUCAUUUAGCUUGGACACACACCCAAAACCGACUUUCCGGAAUAAGGAACACUUGCAUGCAAGUUAACGAAGGAUGGAAAAUGACAUAUUCAAACGUAAACAAAGCAGCAUUUGCGUGGCGGUCGGAAUUCCAGCACAACUUUUGAAAUAAGCUGAUGUUGCUCAAUAAAUCUUUUUCAAAUGGUCGUAUGAGUAGACUAGCGUCCUAUGGGUGAAACUGGAAUCACGAAAAUGACAAUAAUUCAGUGAAAACUCAAACAAAUUUGCAUACUUCUUUGUUAGUUGGACUCGUUAGAAUGUCAAUUAUCCAAAAAUGACCCAUAGAACCCGGAAAUGUUCCGGUGGCCGGAGAUAUUCCGGUGGGUCACUGGGUCAAACAGAGACAAAAAUUGCCAUUUUUAGGUCCCGCACAAUUUUGUUAACAGAAAUCAUGGAAAAACACAAUUUUUCAUGUUACGAUCUUUGUUUUACCCACAGACAGUGCUGACCAUGGAUUUUGAACCAACGGGGAUGUUCCGAAUUGAGUGGACAGGUUCCCUACCCCGGGGGAACAGGUUAAGGGACGGUCAGAAAUAAAACUAUUUCUAUCAUGGCAAUAUUGGUGUCAAAGUUCAUCUUUUUCAAAAUCGAGCUCA